AUGUUGUUUAAUUCGAUGAUACGCGAAGAACUUACCAGGUCUUGACAUCCCCGCGAUGCUUAGAGAUAAAGCGGAGGUAUUCGGGGAGACAGGUGGUGCAUGGUUGUCGUCAGCUCGUGUCGUGAGAUGUUGGGUUAAGUCCCGCAACGAGCGCAACCCUUGUGUUUAGUUGCAAACAGGUCAAGCUGUGCACUCUAGACAGACUGCCGUGGACAACACGGAGGAAGGUGGGGAUGACGUCAAAUCAUCAUGCCCCUUAUGAUCUGGGCUACACACGUGCUACAAUGGCCGGUACAACGGGCAGCGAAGGAGCGAUCCGGAGCGAAUCCUAAAAAGCCGGUCCCAGUUCGGAUUGCAGGCUGAAACUCGCCUACAUGAAGUUGGAGUUGCUAGUAAUCGCGAAUCAGAAUGUCGCGGUGAAUGCGUUCCCGGGCCUU
rnacentral:rRNA from 1 species